rnacentral:rRNA from 1 species
AUCGGAGGGCAAGUCUGGUGCCAGCAGCCGCGGUAAUUCCAGCUCCAAUAGCGUACGUUAAAAGUUGCUGCAGUUAAAAAGCUCGUAGUUGAACGUUCGGGUUCCGCGGGACGGGGCCGCCCCGCGAGGGACGGCGCCGCCCCGGGGCUCGUGAUAUCUUAUCUCGCCGCCCGUCGCGAGGCGGACGGAGGGAUGGAUGAGGUUACCUGGAAAAAAUCGGGGCGAUCUAGGCGGCGAACCUCGCCAACGAACGAUCGGACAUGGGAUAACGGAAGAGGGCGUCGGCUCGACUUCGUCGGUUCCUCGGGCCGAGGCACGUACGGUGAAUAGGGACGGUCGGGGCCGCCCGUACCGGGUCGUGAGAGGUGAAAUUCUAGGAUCGACCCGAGACGAACUGCCGCGAAAGCAUUCGGCAAGGACGCUUUUCAUUAAUCAAGAACGAAAGUCGGGGAGUCGAAGACGAUCAGAUACCGUCGUAGUCCCGACCGUAAACGA